AUUGAACGCUGGCGGCAGGCUUAACACAUGCAAGUCGAGCGAGCGGCGGACGGGUGAGUAAUGCUUAGGAAUCUGCCUAUUAGUGGGGGACAACAUCCCGAAAGGGAUGCUAAUACCGCAUACUAAUAGAUGAGACUAAGUCGGAUUAGCGAGUGGGUGGGGUAACGGCUCACCUAGGCGACGAUCCCUAGCUGGUCUGAGAGGAUGACCAGCAACACGGGAACGGAGACACGGUCCAGACUCCUACGGGAGGAAGCAGUGGGGAAUAUUGGACAAUGGGCGCAAGCCUGAGGAAGCCAUGCCGCGUGUGGGAAGAAGGCUUCGGGUUGUAAAGCACUUUAAGCGGGGAGGCGUUACCCGCAGAAGAAGCACCGGCUAACUCCGUGCCAGCAGCCGCGGUAAUUC
rnacentral:rRNA from 1 species